UACAGAGGGUGCAAGCGUUGCUCGGAAUUAUUGGGCGUAAAGGGUAGGUAGGUGGUCUCAUUUGUCGGGGGUGAAAGCCUUGGGCUUAACCCAAGAAGUGCCUUCGAAACGGUGAGACUGGAGUCCUGGAGAGGGUCGUGGAAUUCCCGGUGUAGUGGUGAAAUGCGUAGAGAUCGGGAGGAACACCAGAGGCGAAGGCGGCGACCUGGACAGGUACUGACACUCAACUACGAAAGCGUGGGGAGCAAACAGG
rnacentral:rRNA from 1 species